rnacentral:rRNA from 1 species
UCCGGGCGGGUCGACGAGCCUUUCAAAGUCGAGGAGGCAGAACCCGUGAAGGCGGCGCCGCCGCCGCCUUCUCCUGAUAAGCUGCUUGUGCUAGGUGGAAGUGGUUUUGUUGGUUCACAUGUUUGCAAGGAGGCUUUGGAGAGAGGAUUUGUUGUCUCUAGUCUAAAUAGAUCUGGGAAGCCAUCGAUAAGUGAAUCUUGGGCUGACAAAGUUAUAUGGAACCAAGGCAAUCUUCUUGAACCCGCUUCACUGGAGGAUAGUAUGGAUGGUGUCUCUGCUGUUGUAUCCUGUGUUGGAGGCUUUGGGUCAAAUUCUCAAAUGUUCAAAAUAAAUGGGACUGCAAACAUCAAUGCCAUCAGGGUUGCAGCUGAGAAAGGCAUAAAAAGAUUUGUGUAUGUGUCAGCUGCAGACUUCGGUUUAGUGAAUUACUUAUUGCAAGGUUAUUAUGAGGGCAAGAGAGCUGCUGAAGCUGAACUGCUGUCGAAGUUUACCUAUGGAGGAGUGAUAUUGCGGCCUGGUUUUAUUCAUGGAACUCGUCGAGUGGGUAAUGUGAACAUACCCCUUGGACUUGUGGGCUCACCUAUGCAAAUGGUGCUCCAAAAUGCAAAACCAUUAACCAGAUUGCCACUUGUCGGCCCGAUGCUAACUCCUCCAGUGAGUGCUACCUCGGUAGCGAAGGUCGCUGUAAGAGCAGCGACGGAUCCGGUGUUCCCUCCUGGUAUCGUCGAUGUGUAUGGCAUCAUGCGUUACAGCGAGCAGAAGUAA